CAGCAGCCGCGGGAAUACGUAGGUGGCAAGCGUUGUCCGGAAUUAUUGGGCGUAAAGGGCUCGCAGGCGGUUUCUUAAGUCCGAUGUGAAAGCCCCCGGCUCAACCGGGGAGGGUCAUUGGAAACUGGGAAACUUGAGUGCAGAAGUGGAGAGUGGAAUUCCACGUGUAGCGGUGAAAUGCGUAGAGAUGUGGAGGAACACCAGUGGCGAAGGCGACUCUCUGGUCUGUAACUGACGCUGAGGAGCGAAAGCGUGGGGAGCGAACAGGAUUAGAGACCCCCGUAGUCCCUGUCUCUUAUAC
rnacentral:rRNA from 1 species